rnacentral:rRNA from 1 species
CCUACGGGGGGCAGCAGUGGGGGAUAUUGCACAAUGGGGGGAACCCUGAUGCAGCGACGCCGCGUGAAGGAAGAAGGAUCUAUGGUUUGUAAACUUCUUUUAUAGGGGAAUAAAGGUAUCCACGUGUGGAUAUUUGCAUGUACCCUAUGAAUAAGCAUCGGCUAACUCCGUGCCAGCAGCCGCGGUAAUACGGAGGAUGCGAGCGUUAUCCGGAUUUAUUGGGUUUAAAGGGUGCGUAGGUUGUUUUUUAAGUCAGCGGUGAAAGUUUGUGGCUCAACCAUAAAAUUGCCGUUGAAACUGGAAGACUUGAGUGUGUUUGAGGUAGGCGGAAUGCGUGGUGUAGCGGUGAAAUGCAUAGAUAUCACGCAGAACUCCGAUUGCGAAGGCAGCUUACUAAGCCAUAACUGACACUGAAGCACGAAAGCGUGGGGAUCAAACAGGAUUAGAGACCCUUGUAGUC